rnacentral:rRNA from 1 species
GACGAACGCUGGCGGCGUGCUUAACACAUGCAAGUCGAACGGAAAGGCCCUGCUUGCAGGGUACUCGAGUGGCGAACGGGUGAGUAACACGUGGGUGAUCUGCCCUGCACUUCGGGAUAAGCUUGGGAAACUGGGUCUAAUACCGGAUAGGAACCAUCUUUAGUGUGGUGGUUGGAAAGUUUUUUCGGUGUAGGAUGAGCUCGCGGCCUAUCAGCUUGUUGGUGGGGCAAUGGCCUACCAAGGCGGCGACGGGUAGCCGGCCUGAGAGGGUGUACGGCCACAUUGGGACUGAGAUACGGCCCAGACUCCUACGGGAGGCAGCAGUGGGGAAUAUUGCACAAUGGGCGCAAGCCUGAUGCAGCGACGCCGCGUGGGGGAUGAAGGCCUUCGGGUUGUAAACUCCUUUCGCUAGGGACGAAGCUUUGUUGUGACGGUACCUAGAUAAGAAGCACCGGCUAACUACGUG